AUGUCCUAUCCUUGGAAGCCGUAGCGACUAUUUGAUCAGCACCAUUUUGAGCCACUCUUGGUUUGACAACACAAACAGAAGUAAUUGCAUCAGCAUGGCCCUCCAGUAUAUGCGUACAAGAUCCAGCAGCCUUCCAUAUUCUUCCAAAACCAUCAUAACAUCCAGUCACAACAAACAUGGAAUUAGAACCAUCAACUGCACUGACCCAAUCGUCAUGCAAAGAUGGUUCUUCUUCUUUCCUCGGAGCCACAGCUCUAAUGUACUCAAUCUCCAAUAUUUUCUCAGCUGAAAUGCCCUUGGCAAGGAGAAACUCUUCAAGUGACAUGCGGACCAGUUCCCCAUCAAUGAGAAAAUCAAAAGGCUCGGGAUUCCAAUCAUCAUUUCCGGCUUUAAGGAGGUUGUUGACGAUGGAAGAGAGGCCCAAUCGGGUAAGAUUAGAGGGAAUAGCAAUAGAAGUAGGCGGAGCCUUAAAGGGUGCUUUCAACUUCGUGACGAACCGGACCUGUACACGCCUUGCAGCCUCUUCAACGUUGCCAUCAAUGUCCAUACCCGCCAUUAAAAAAGUAUUGUGUAGAGAGAGAAGGGUGCGGA
rnacentral:misc_RNA from 1 species